UACGAAGGGGGCUAGCGUUGCUCGGAAUCACUGGGCGUAAAGCGCACGUAGGCGGAUUGCUAAGUCAGGGGUGAAAUCCUGGAGCUCAACUCCAGAACUGCCUUUGAUACUGGCGAUCUUGAGUCCGGGAGAGGUGAGUGGAACUGCGAGUGUAGAGGUGAAAUUCGUAGAUAUUCGCAAGAACACCAGUGGCGAAGGCGGCUCACUGGCCCGGUACUGACGCUGAGGUGCGAAAGCGUAGGGAGCAAACAGG
rnacentral:rRNA from 1 species